rnacentral:rRNA from 1 species
UGGGAAUUUUUUCGCAAUGGGCGCAAGCCUGACGGAGCAAGACCGCGUGAGGGAAGAAGGUCUGUGGAUUGUAAACCUCUUUUGAUAGGGAAGAAGACAGUGACGGUACCUAUCGAAUCAGCCUCGGCUAACUCCGUGCCAGCAGCCGCGGUAAUACGGAGGAGGCAAGCGUUAUCCGGAAUUAUUGGGCGUAAAGAGUCCGUAGGUGGGUAACCAAGUCAGUUGUUAAAACGUGAAGCUUAACUUCAUAGCGGCGACUGAAACUGGUUGUCUAGAGUGUGGUAGGGGUAGAGGGAAUUUCCAGUGUAGCGGUGAAAUGCGUAGAUAUUGGAAAGAACACCGGUGGCGAAAGCGCUCUACUGGCC